GAGGGUGCAGCUCAGUGGCAGAGCACGUGCUUAGCAUGCACAAGGUCCUGGGCUCCAUCCCCGGUAUCUCCA
rnacentral:tRNA from 1 species